GAAGAAAGUACUGAAGGAGUCUCCACAUGGGAGCACCAGCGCUGCCUCAUCAACGUCUAUCCGACAGCACCGGCCAAAGGACGCCUUGGACACGCUCUCAUGUCCUCAGACACGAACCGCUAAAUCCAAGGAGCUAAAAAAAGAAAAAAAGAAAAGCCGACUGCUGGCGCCAGCAAGUGGACAGACUUUAAAGUGAAAACACGGCUGGAGAGGGGGAGGGGUGUAUGGGUGCCAAAUCCCCGGUCAAGACACACCACAUCUCCUUGAUCUACCGCCGCCACCUCCUUCCUCUUCCUCCCUCCAUUUCCUUGUCCUCCGCUUGUCUCUCAUUCUCCCUCGUUCUCUCUCAUGGGAGUGACAUAGAGGCCGGCGCUUGGUCUGCUGCCCCGCCCCUUCCCCGCCUCAGCGUGGAAACGGGGGCGUCCAGGUAGGGAUGUCGUGGAAGAGGAACUAUUUUGCGUCGGGCGGCGGAGCAGCAGGUGCGGCGCAGGGGCUGGUGACCCCGAGAACCAUGACCUCUAUUGCACCCAGCAAAGGCCUGAGCAACGAACCGGGACAGAACAGCUGCUUCCUCAACAGCGCUCUGCAGGUUCUGUGGCAUCUCGACAUCUUUCGCCGAAGCUUUCGACAGCUGACAACACACAAGUGCAUGGAGGACUCGUGCAUCUUCUGCGCUUUAAAGAGUAUCUUUGCUCAGUUCCAGUUCAGCAGUGAGCGUGUGCUGCCAUCAGAUGCACUGCGGAGCGCUCUGGCCAAGACUUUCCAAGACGAACAACGCUUUCAGCUGGGUAUCAUGGACGACGCUGCUGAGUGCUUCGAGAAUCUCCUGAUGCGUAUCCACUUCCACAUCAGCGCGGAGAGUCGAGAGGACAUCUGCACCGCCAAACACUGCAUACCACACCAGAAGUUUGCCAUGACUCUGUUCGAACAGUGUGUGUGUAACAGCUGUGGAGCCACAUCAGACCCCCUGCCCUUCAUUCAGAUGGUUCAUUACAUCUCCACUACAUCCCUCUGUAACCAGGCGGUGAGGAUGCUGGAAUGCAGAGAGAAGGCCACACCGGACAUGUUUGGAGAACUGCUCCGCAAUGCCAGCAACAUGGGAGACCUGCGCAAUUGCCCUAGUAACUGUGGGGAGGUGCUGCGUAUCCGUCGGGUGCUGAUGAACUCACCGGAGAUUGUGUCCAUCGGGUUGGUGUGGGAUUCAGACCACUCUGACCUGGCCGAGGACGUCAUACACAGCCUGGGGACUUGCCUUCGUUUGGGAGAUUUGUUCUACCGUGUGACAGAGGAGAGGGCUCGCCAGGCGGAGCUCUAUUUGGUGGGCAUGGUGUGCUACUACGGCAAGCACUACUCCACCUUCUUCUUCCAGACCAAGAUACGCAAGUGGAUGUACUUCGACGACGCCCACGUCAAAGAGAUUGGCCCGAAGUGGAAGGACGUUGUGUCUCGCUGUAUCAAAGGCCACUAUCAGCCCCUGCUGCUGCUCUACGCUGACCCCCGUGGGACGCCUGUGAUACUGCAGGAGAGCCCCAACCCCUGUACCAGCUCCAACCCGCAGCUGGAGCUCCAGCACUGCAGCAGCAAGGCCGGUUACGACAGCGAAGACUCCGGUCGGGAGCCGUCCAUAUCCAGCGACACUCGCACUGACUCCUCGACGGAGAGCUCCAGCCACCGCGCCUCCCGCAGCCGGCCUCUCCACCAGUCCACAGGCAGUCACCUCUCCAGUGAAUCCCAGACCACAGUGGUCUGCAAUUACGACAUUGGCACACCACCACACAGUGCUGACGCCAGAGAGUCAGCGGUGGAGGGUCCUCCCUGCCCCCCCUCUCCUCCCCUGCCGGAGUACAAGGAGACGGCUGUCUUCCUCCUCUCCUCCCGCCGGCCCCUGACCUCCUCCUCCUCCUCCUCUCGUCCCCUGUCCUCCUCCUCCUCGUCAGGAGUAGGGGGCUGUGAGAGUGGGGCAGGUGGCCCCCACUGGGAGGAUGAAAGCACCAGCAGCGAGAGCAAGUCCAGUUCUUCUGGAGGCCGCUACAGGCCAACCUGGAGGCCCAGGAGAGAGGCCCUGAACAUCGACAGCAUCUUCACCCGCCAGCGAGGCUCCUCUCUGGGCUACAACACGCUGCCUGGUCCCUCUCUCCGUCCAGAGCCCCACGACUCCCUCCCUUUGGCGGGACCCGCUCCACCCAUCCAGCCAGGGCUGCAAGACGUAGAAGAGAGGGACAUCAGGGAGUUGGAGGUGGGGUUUGGGUUGGUCGGGCAGCCCAGGUCUCUUGGCAGCGGGCGGACCAUGGGUCCCCCUGCUCCUCCACCUCUGAGAGGGGUGGAGCACCAGCCGCGUCUGAUCCAGAGGAUGGAGAGUGGCUACGAGAGCAGCGAGAGGAACAGCAGCAGUCCAGACAGGGAGGUGGGGCAACAGAAACGGGCGCUAAUGUCGGGACCUUCAUGGCGUUCGGUGCCCAAGUCAAAGAGCAGCGGUGCCAUCCUGCAGGAGCUGCCCUCGCCCAGCUGGGGUAGGGUCACCAGCACAGGGCGCAGCGAGCUGGACGAGCUGCAGGAGGAGGUGGCGAGGAGAGCCCGACAGCAGGAGCAGCAGAAGCGGAGGGAGGCCGAGCGGGAGGCCGCCAUGGGAUUCAACCCCAAACCCAGCAAAUUCAUGGACCUGGACCAGCUCCAACACCAGGCUGUGCUCAGACCCCUGCAUGAGGCUAACGCUCAUAGCGGAUUGGCUGUAGCUGCGUGCAUGAGGAGCACUGGGGGCCCAAUCAAACGCAGGCAGGAACAGGAAAUGGAACUGGAGGCAGGAAGGGCCCGUCCACAGGGGCCUCACAGUGAACAGCCUGGCCCGGUCCAAGUACUGCUGACGCCCAAUCAGGAGGAGGAAGAGGACCCGGCAGUGCCCAACCAGGAUGCUGCUCAGGGCCCGGACCCACCCCCUCCACCCUAUCGGCUACCUGCUGCCCCUCGACCCCCGUUCACCCUCCACAUCGCUCACCCUUGCGCCCCUUCCGGCCAAGGGGGGGAGGAGGAGGAGGGCGGCAGAUGCGUGGGCAGGAGAAGGGAGGAAGAGGAGGAUGGGAUGGAGGGCACAGGGGUGAGGCUGUGUGAGUUGCUGCAGGCAGGGGGGGUGAGUGUCAGACCUCUGGGGAAGCACCUAGCCAUCUCUUUGCCCUCGCUUCCUCUGCGUCUCUGGGAUACACACGCCACACACACCGCACACUCCACACACCUUGAACCCACACACACACCCCCUACCCCUCUGCCCUCCACUCCUCCCCCGUCCUCCCCUCUGGAAGCCUCUGGGCAAAGGAGACCUCCCGCGCCGCUGUGGCAGCCCCCCCGGCCCCAGUCCCCCACUGUCGUCUCUCAGCACUGGCCGAGGCACGGAGCCGCCUCCGACAGCGGCAUGCGCCAUUGGUCCUCCUGGAGCUUGGACCGCCCUGACGCCGUGGUAACGCCAUACAGCACGCCCCCAGACUGCUGCGUACCAUUCAGGCCACAGGCGUCCAGCCAGAACUGCAGCUACAGUUGCCAGUCCUCUCCAGGGCACUACAGCUCCCAGCAUGCUCCAGGGCAACACGGUGACCCGCGCUGUGACCGCGAAGAGGCUGAGCUGUCUGAGCUUGACUCCCUUUACCAAGCCAGUCUGCAGGCCAGAAAGACAGGCUGCAGCCCAUCAGAGAGGCUCAUAUCCAGGGUGGGAGGACAGGCUCGCUCAAAGACCCCCAACGCGGACAUGGAGAGGAGUGUGUACGGGGCAGACUCUACCAGCACCCCCACCUACCUCAACAAGCCGAUGAUGUUGCAGGAUCUGCGUUUAGGGGCGGAGCCGGAUGACGGGGAAAAUCUGAGGCAAAUGGGACGCAGCCUGAGCGGCACUGUAGUGACCUCUCGCCGCAGCCGCCUGACUGCAACCCGCAGCUUUGUGAAGCAGAGUGAUGUCAGUGCCUCUCCUUGCUUACUUCCUCUCUUCUGAGUCCCUGUUGCUAUUUCACCACUGUCAUCUCCUCCAUCAUCCUCAUCACCAACACCUUCUCAUGACCACCUCCCUCCACUGCUUUACAGGAGCUGUCGAGCAAUGCAGGGAGUUUCUGGCUGUGUCUGACGGGGGUCAAGCUGUCGUCUGACCAGAGUCCCGCUCUGCUUCACUAACGUCUCGCCGUGUCCACUUCCACACGUGGGGGGGGGGAAGCUUCGGGUCACGGACCUGGCUCAGGAGGAUUGACCUCAGCUGCGAUCCCGUUCUUUCCCCCAUCUCCCUCUCACGACAUGCACACGCAGACACAUGCACGCUCACAUGCACAUCUGCACUGACGUACAGCCUCCCUCAGCGCCUGCAGCACCCUGCUUAGCCCCCUCCCUCCCCUACUUUUACCUACUAAUCUGUCUAUGCAGUCACUCUGACCCCAACUACAACCUCAAGCUUCCCCCUUUCUUCCCUGGACUGUUCUUUCUUGACUCCCCCUGGGUUUUUCGAGGGAUCCCCUAGUGCAGUCAACCUGGCGAGCCUCGCCACUUUAAGUAGCCUUGUCAGUUUGAUGUCGGCGGGGCACUGGCUGAGUCUGACUAGGACCUGAGCUCUCAGCGGACUUGCCCUCCAUCCCAACCGGAGCCCUCAGCUCAGGGGGAGGCUCUUACCAAGUAGCCACGCCUCUUCCUCUUUCUUCACGGGCAUUUCAUGUUGGACGCACACGUAGCCGAAACUGGGUCUGUUUCAAAUGAGCAGCCAUAUUUUUUCUCUCUUUUGUUUUUAGGGUUUGUCUUAUUAUUAUUUUUCUUCCUGUGUGCUCGCACAGUUAACCCGCCCGAGACCGAACUCUCGACUAAGAGUCAUGUACAGAAAAACUCAUGUAUGAAACCUGUAUGUUAAUUAAUAAGACCUUAUGGAAUGUUGAUAAUGAUAAUUAACGAAUAUUGAUAAACUUAAAGUGGUACUUCCUCAUGUCUGCAUUUCAUAUACAAGUGGAGUGCACUUCACAAGUGUCUAGCUGGAGUUUCCGCCCCCCCUUAAACCUCUCGCCGAUCUUAAUGACAGCUCUCCCGUUUCUACCGGGAGAUUAAGCGAGAAAAGCGCUUCCUUUUUCUCUCUGCUUCUUACCUCUACUCCUUUCCUCUCUCGCACUCUUUUAUUCUUCGCGCGCUUUCUUCCUUACGAAGAGGCAAUGGUAGCACCAGAGAUAGGCCAGCAGGGGAGGAAAGUCGAGAAGGAGCGAGAGGAUGUAUGUUAGGAAAGCCUUCCUCUUCGGCUUUAUCGAUGAAAAGAGUAGAAUACUCAAGUGCGCUUUGUGAGAUGAUGACUUGGCAGAAGAAGUGCACUUUGCGAGGGCUGUUUGAGCGAGAGCGAUUGAUGUGGUUUGUUUUACUUAAAGGCCUCAGGUGACCUUCAGUGGCACUUAUGAAUUCACACUUUAUUAUUUUUCUCACCCGCUGAAAACACUGAACGUUUUUUGAGAUCUCAGAAAAAAAACUCAUCUUCAAAAAAUAAUCUUCAGCCUGAGACAGUGACAUGUCGAAUAUGAAUAUACUUUAUAUGAUAUGUAUGUAUUAGAGGUAUAUUUUCAGCCAGUGAGCUAUCUUCUUUAGAGAUGUCAACCAUUCCUCAGUUGUAUGAACACUUAUUAUACGGUAAUGAACAGGUAUGAUAUCAUUCACUACCCCCUUUACUAAGUAGCAUUCUGACAUGUGUAGAUUUAUUAUUAUGUUUAUUCUAUUAAAUAUCAUAUGAAAUAACAAAGUCCUUACUCAAGAACUUGCCAAUGUGAAGUUCUUCAAGAAUUUACUGAUGUUGAUUGAUCGUUGUAACUAAACCAAAGGUUGGCACUUAACUCAGAGAGCGUAUUUAACAUCAGUUUUUCAUUUCCCUUUCUGAUUUUGUCAAUGUUUUUUAUUGUUUGUUUUUUUGGGGGGGGGAACUGGAUGUGGGAGAAUGUAGCCAAUUGUAGCGCAUGAGUCCGCUAUGCAAAUCAACCUUCCCUCACAAUCCUGUAUCAGAGACAGUCAGGAGGCAGACACACCCGCCCCACCCACGGGGGGCGCUCUCACGGACUCUGGUAGAGGCCUGGAGAGGAGGAGGAUGAGAUACUUCAUGUUCAAUGCUGCUGGUGAACUUUGUUGCUCUGCAUCUACGUCUACGUUUCAUCCAAUGGAAUGCAAAAAGAGAGCAGCAAGCGUGGCGAGAGCGCCGUACGGAGCACGAGAGCGAAUGAAUGUAAACUAAAGGAUGAAAGUGUGUUUUGUUUGCGAAUGACAUGAUGGUCAGAGACAGAGAAGGGUGGAGAGUAACGCUGAUGAUGGUUUCUUGUUUGUGGGUGUGUGUAGACUAUGUGUGUCAGUUCUGGGGUGUUGUUGCUCGGGGAAAGAGGGAACCUGUAUUUUUGCAAUAAAGUUAUUACCAAUGCACUCCCACAGGGGGCGUAA